rnacentral:rRNA from 1 species
GGAGUCCUACGGGGGGCAGCAGUGAGGUAUAUUGGUCAAUGGCCGAGAGGCUGAACCAGCCAAGUCGCGUGAGGGAUGACGGCCCUACGGGUUGUAAACCUCUUUUGUCGGGGAGCAAGACCCGCCUCGUGCAGGCGGAGCGAGAGUACCCGAAGAAAAAGCAUCGGCUAACUCCGUGCCAGCAGCCGCGGUAAUACGGAGGAUGCGAGCGUUAUCCGGAUUUACUGGGUGUAAAGGGAGCGUAAACGGCACCGCA